GGUUUGUGGCUCAGUGGUAGAGCACUUGCCUAGCAUGUGUGAGGCACUGGGUUCAAUCCUCAGCACCA
rnacentral:tRNA from 1 species